rnacentral:rRNA from 1 species
GAAACCAACAGGGAUUGCCUUAGUAACGGCGAGUGAAGCGGCAACAGCUCAAAUUUGAAAUCUGGCCCUUGGGUCCGAAUUGUAAUUUGUAGAGGAUGAUUUUGGUGCGGUAUCUUCCGAGUUCCUUGGAACAGGACGCCUUAGAGGGUGAGAGCCCCGUACGGUUGAAUGCCUAGCCUCUGUAAAUCUCCUUCGACGAGUCGAGUAGUUUGGGAAUGCUGCUCUAAAUGGGAGGUAAAUUUCUUCUAAAGCUAAAUAUUGGCCAGAGACCGAUAGCGCACAAGUAGAGUGAUCGAAAGAUGAAAAGCACUUUGAAAAGAGGGUUAAAUAGCACGUGAAAUUGUUGAAAGGGAAGGAUUUGUGACCAGACUUUUUCUGGGCGGAUCAUCCGGGGUUCUCUCCGGUGCACUUCGCCCAGUAAAGGCCAGCAUCGGUUUUCGGCGUGGGAUAAAAGCAGUAGGAAUGUGGCUCUCUACGGGGAGUGUUAUAGCCUAUUGUAUAAUACCGCGCUGGGGACCGAGGUUCGCGCUUCUGCAAGGAUGCUGGCGUAAUGGUUAUCAAUCACCCGUCUUGAAACACGGACCAAGGAGUCGAACAUUUGUGCGAGUGUUUGGGUGUUAAACCCUCACGCGUAAUGAAAGUGAACGGAGGUGAGAGCCCUUACGGGUGCAUCAUCGACCGAUCCUGAAGUUUUCGGAUGGAUUUGAGUAAGAGCAUAACUGUUCGGACCCGAAAGAUGGUGAACUAUGCGUGGAUAGGGUGAAGCCAGAGGAAACUCUGGUGGAGGCUCGCAGCGGUUCUGACGUGCAAAUCGAUCGUCAAAUCUGCGCAUGGGGGCGAAAGACUAAUCGAACCAUCUAGUAGCUGG